AACGAACGCUGGCGGCAUGCCUAACACAUGCAAGUCGAACGAGACCUUCGGGUCUAGUGGCGCACGGGUGCGUAACGCGUGGGAAUCUGCCCUUGGGUUCGGAAUAACAGUUGGAAACGACUGCUAAUACCGGAUGAUGACGUAAGUCCAAAGAUUUAUCGCCCAAGGAUGAGCCCGCGUAGGAUUAGCUAGUUGGUGAGGUAAAGGCUCACCAAGGCGACAAUCCUUAGCUGGUCUGAGAGGAUGAUCAGCCACACUGGGACUGAGACACGGCCCAGACUCCUACGGGAGGCAGCAGUGGGGAAUAUUGGACAAUGGGCGAAAGCCUGAUCCAGCAAUGCCGCGUGAGUGAUGAAGGCCUUAGGGUUGUAAAGCUCUUUUACCCGGGAUGAUAAUGACAGUACCGGGAGAAUAAGCUCCGGCUAACUCCGUG
rnacentral:rRNA from 1 species